GAUGAACGCUGACAGAAUGCUUAACACAUGCAAGUCUACUUGAACUUCGGUUUGGGUGGCGGACGGGUGAGUAACGCGUACAGAACUUGCCUCACAGUUAGGGACAACAUUUGGAAACGAAUGCUAAUACCUGAUAUUAUGAUUUUAGGGCAUCCUAGGAUUAUGAAAGCUAUAUGUGCUGUGAGAGAGCUUUGCGUCCCAUUAGCUAGUUGGAGAGGUAACGGCUCACCAAGGCGAUGAUGGGUAGCCGGCCUGAGAAGGUGAACGGCCACAAGGGGACUGAGACACGGCCCUUACGCCUACGGGAGGCAGCAGUGGGGAAUAUUGGACAAUGGACCAAAAGUCUGAUCCAGCAAUUCUGUGUGCACGAUGACGUUUUUCGGAAUGUAAAGUGCUUUCAGUUGGGAAGAAAAAAAUGACGGUACCAACAGAAGAAGUGACGGCUAAAUACGUG
rnacentral:rRNA from 1 species